rnacentral:rRNA from 1 species
UACAGAGGGGGCAAGCGUUAUUCGGAAUUAUUGGGCGUAAAGAGCUCGUAGGUGGUUCGGUAAGUCGGAUGUGAAAUCUCCAGGCUCAACCUGGAGGGGUCAUUCGAUACUGCCGUGACUAGAGUUCGGUAGGGGAGUGUGGAAUUCCUGGUGGAGCGGUGAAAUGCGCAGAUAUCAGGAGGAACACCCGUAGCGAAGGCGGCACUCUGGGCCGAUACUGACACUGAGGAGCGAAAGCGUGGGGAGCGAACAGG